UUUCCUCUUCCUCUCAGGCUUCCAAAUUUUCAUUGAUUCAAUGCUUUCAUGAGACAUAUAGCGGAAAUCAUUGUUCCUUUGUAUGAUGGUGUCGAAAAAGAGGUAAUACAGUUCCGAAAAUCUCAACAACAGCCCAGCAGACAAAUCCAUUUAGAAGAGAAGAGAACAAAGAGAAGUGUGAGAAGAGAAAGUUAAAAGUCCUCAGUUCUGGGUGCAAUCCACAUCCCAUUGAAUGGCAAACAUUCCCAUUAAUCCGAAUGACUUCAGUUUGUACCAUGUAUUUGUAUGAAAUGGAUUAUGCUCAGGCAUAAUUAAAGAUGCUUUGUUUAAUGCGAAAAUCUGGGGUUCUGCACUACUGGAUGGGAUUACAUAACAAAGGGAGAAAUGUGGCAGAAAUGGCUCUGGUGAAAAGAAAAUCAGUCAGGCCAGCUCGCAUCAAACAAAAUGCUGUUGGCAAUGUUUCAGACAAAGAAAAUAAAACAUUA